rnacentral:rRNA from 1 species
GUCAGCAGCCAUAUCACUCUGCAACUUACAACUGGCAGCCCACUGGAGCCCAGCAGCUGUGAGCCUGGUCAGUACCUGGAUGGGAGACCUCCUGGGAAAAACUAAGGUUGCUGCUGGAA